rnacentral:rRNA from 1 species
UUAUUAUGAGAGUUUGAUCCUGGCUCAGGACGAACGCUGGCGGCGUGCCUAAUACAUGCAAGUCGAACGCUUCUUUCCUCCCGAGUGCUUGCACUCAAUUGGAAAGAGGAGUGGCGGACGGGUGAGUAACACGUGGGUAACCUACCCAUCAGAGGGGGAUAACACUUGGAAACAGGUGCUAAUACCGCAUAACAGUUUAUGCCGCAUGGCAUAAGAGUGAAAGGCGCUUUCGGGUGUCGCUGAUGGAUGGACCCGCGGUGCAUUAGCUAGUUGGUGAGGUAACGGCUCACCAAGGCCACGAUGCAUAGCCGACCUGAGAGGGUGAUCGGCCACACUGGGACUGAGACACGGCCCAGACUCCUACGGGAGGCAGCAGUAGGGAAUCUUCGGCAAUG